UAAGACGAACCGUACAAACGUUAUUCGGAAUCACUGGGCUUAAAGGGUGCGUAGGCGGCCCGGCAAGUUGGGUGUGAAAUCCCUCGGCUCAACCGAGGAACUGCGCCCAAAACUGUCGGGCUCGAGAGAGACAGAGGUGAGCGGAACUUAGGGUGGAGCGGUGAAAUGCGUUGAUAUCCUAAGGAACACCAGUAGCGAAGGCGGCUCACUGGGUCUCUUCUGACGCUGAGGCACGAAAGCUAGGGGAGCGAACGGGAUUAGAUACCCCGGUAGUCCUAGCUGUAAACGAUGAGCACUUGGUCGGAGGAUCCUCCAUAGUUUUCCGGCCGUAGCGAAAGUGUUAAGUGCUCCGCCUGGGGAGUAUGGUCGCAAGGCUG
rnacentral:rRNA from 1 species